rnacentral:sRNA from 1 species
AUUCAUUUUCACAAUCUGGGCUUACUCAUUUUGAAAAUCCAGGUGCAAUAAUUUUGAAUUGGAAUACAAUUUGCAUAAAAACAAGACUAACCACUGUUGUGCUUCUUCUACCCCGAACUGGACGCUAUGGGAAAUUCAUUCUGGAUUAAGGGCCUUAGAUUGGGAAAACGGGGGAGUAAGUCAAUAAGUCAAUAAAGAAAAUCGUGAUUCCUGUAUUCUAUACGAAAGAGACAAAAUGAUUAUAAAAGAUCUAGGCUGACAAUAAAUACUAUC